GGGCCCGCACAAGCAGUGGAGUAUGUGGUUUAAUUCGACGCAACGCGAAGAACCUUACCAGGGCUUGACAUCCUCUGACCGCAUAAGAGAUUAUGCUUUCCCUUCGGGGACAGAGAGACAGGUGGUGCAUGGUUGUCGUCAGCUCGUGUCGUGAGAUGUUGGGUUAAGUCCCGCAACGAGCGCAACCCUUAUUGUCAGUUGCCAGCAGGUUAAGCUGGGCACUCUGGCGAGACUGCCGUUGACAAAACGGAGGAAGGUGGGGACGACGUCAAAUCAUCAUGCCCCUUAUGUCCUGGGCUACACACGUACUACAAUGGCAACAACAGAGGGCAGCCAAGCCGCGAGGCCGAGCGAAUCCCAAAAUGUUGUCUCAGUUCAGAUUGCAGGCUGAAACUCGCCUGCAUGAAGUCGGAAUUGCUAGUAAUGGCAGGUCAGCAUACUGCCGUGAAUACGUUCCCGGGCCUU
rnacentral:rRNA from 1 species